GAAAUGCGAUAAGUAAUGUGAAUUGCAGAAUUCAGUGAAUCAUCGAAUCUUUGAACGCACCUUGCACUCCUUGGUAUUCCGAGGAGCAUGCCUGUUUGAGUGUCAUGGAAUUCUCAACUCUAUUUGCUUUUGUGAAUAGAGCUUGGAUUUGGAGGUUUAUUGCUGGUACUUGUGAUCGGCUCCUCUUGAAUGCAUUAGCUCGAACCUUUGCGGAUCAGCUAUCGGUGUGAUAAUUGUCUACGCCGUUGCAGUGAAGCAUAUCAAUGGGCUCGGCUUCCAAUCGUCCUUUACUGGACAAUGACUUUGACCUUUGACCUCAAAUCAGGUAGGAUUACCCGCUGAACUUAAGC
rnacentral:misc_RNA from 1 species